rnacentral:rRNA from 1 species
UGCCAGCAGCCGCGGUAAUACGUAAGGUGCAAGCGUUAAUCGGAAUCACUGGGCGUAAAGCGCGCGUAGGCGGUUGUGUAAGUCGGAUGUGAAAGCCCAGGGCUCAACCCUGGAACUGCUUCUGGAACUGGCAGACUAGAGAUAGGUAGAGGCAGGUGGAAUUCCAGGUGUAGAGGUGAAAUUCGUAGAUAUCUGGAGGAACACCGGUGGCGAAGGCGGCCUGCUGGACCUUAUCUGACGCUAAGGCGCGAAAGCGUGGGGAGCAAACAGGAUUAGAUA